UACGUAGGUGGCGAGCGUUAUCCGGAUUUACUGGGCGUAAAGGGUGUGCAGGCGGGCUGUUAAGUGGGGUAUGAAAUAUCCCGGCUCAACCGGGAGAGGUUAUGCCAGACUGGCAGUCUAGAGAGCGAGAGAGGGACGUGGAAUUCCGGGUGUAGUGGUGAAAUGCGUAGAGAUCGGGAGGAACACCUGUGGCGAAGGCGGCCGACUGGGCCGACCCUGACGCUGAGGCGCGAAGGCGUGGGGAGCGAACGGG
rnacentral:rRNA from 1 species